rnacentral:siRNA from 1 species
GGACGGAUGAGCUUUGGCGGGAC